GGUCCUGCCUUUGGCCUAGUGGUUGGUGUAGUGAUAAUGUAGCGAGAUUUUCUGUUGUGCUUGAUCUAACCAUGUGGUUGCAAGGUAUGAGUAAAACAUGGUUCCGUCAAGCACCAUGGAACGUCACGCAGCUUUCUACAGCAUGACAAGCUGCUGAGGCUUAAAUCAGGAUU
ensembl:miRNA cja-mir-218 cja-mir-218